UACGUAGGGUGCGAGCGUUGUCCGGAAUUAUUGGGCGUAAAGAGCUCGUAGGCGGUCUGUCGCGUCGGCUGUGAAAACUCGGGGCUCAACCCCGAGCCUGCAGUCGAUACGGGCAGACUAGAGUGCUGUAGGGGAGACUGGAAUUCCUGGUGUAGCGGUGAAAUGCGCAGAUAUCAGGAGGAACACCGGUGGCGAAGGCGGGUCUCUGGGCAACAACUGACGCUGAGGAGCGAAAGCGUGGGGAGCGAACAGG
rnacentral:rRNA from 1 species